rnacentral:tRNA from 1 species
AGCAUGGUAGUUCAAUAGAAGAAUAUCGGGCUCAUAACUCGAAGACGUUGGAGCGUAACCAACCCAUGCUAC